GAUGAAGAACGCAGCGAAAUGCGAUAAGUAAUGUGAAUUGCAGAAUUCAGUGAAUCAUCGAAUCUUUGAACGCACAUUGCGCCCGCCAGUAUUCUGGCGGGCAUGCCUGUUCGAGCGUCGUUUCAACCAUCAAGCCCCAGGCUUGUGUUGGGGACCUGCGGCUGCCGCAGGCCCUGAAAACCAGUGGCGGGCUCGCUGUCACACCGGGCGUAGUAGAUUUUAUCUCGCUCAGGGCGUGCUGCGGGUCCCGGCCGUUAAAAGCCUUUUUUUACCCAAGGUUGACCUCGGAUCAGGUAGGAAGACCCGCUGAACUUAAGCAUAUCAAUAAGCGGAGGA
rnacentral:misc_RNA from 1 species